GAUGAACGCUGGCGGCAGGCUUAACACAUGCAAGUCGAGCGCCCCGCAAGGGGAGCGGCAGACGGGUGAGUAACGCGUGGGAACGUACCCUUUGCUACGGAAUAGCUCUGGGAAACUGGAAUUAAUACCGUAUGUGCCCUACGGGGGAAAGAUUUAUCGGCAAAGGAUCGGCCCGCGUUGGAUUAGCUAGUUGGUGGGGUAAUGGCCUACCAAGGCGACGAUCCAUAGCUGGUCUGAGAGGAUGAUCAGCCACAUUGGGACUGAGACACGGCCCAAACUCGUACGGGAGGCAGCAGUGGGGAAUAUUGGACAAUGGGCGCAAGCCUGAUCCAGCCAUGCCGCGUGAGUGAUGAAGGUCUUAGGGUUGUAAAGCUCUUUCACCGGAGAAGAUAAUGACGGUAUCCGGAGAAGAAGCCCCGGCUAACUUCGUGCCAGCCGCCGCAGUAAAAC
rnacentral:rRNA from 1 species